GCACUGGAGAACAUUUGGUGAAAAUUUGAUGAAAAUCGGACUGAUAUUGAGCGCGCAGUAGCGAUUUUCCGCAAAACGCCAAAGAAGGUGUCUGUAACCUUAAGUUUAAUUGACAAACACUUCCCACUACAUAAAAGUAAGCUACAGUUGCAUGAACAACGUUAAGUCUAUAAUCACCAAACACAACGCACAUAUAAUUUGGAACAGUCAAUCACAGAAUACGGAAACUGACAACUGUAACUGCGACAACAAAAACACUUGCC